UUUCGUAACAAGGUCUCCGUAGGUGAACCUGCGGAGGGAUCAUUACACAAAUAUGAAGGCGGGCUGGAACCUCUCGGGGUUACAGCCUUGCUGAAUUAUUCACCCUUGUCUUUUGCGUACUUCUUGUUUCCUUGGUGGGUUCGCCCACCACUAGGACAAACAUAAACCUUUUGUAAUUGCAAUCAGCGUCAGUAACAAAUUAAUAAUUACAACUUUCAACAACGGAUCUCUUGGUUCUGGCAUCGAUGAAGAACGCAGCGAAAUGCGAUAAGUAGUGUGAAUUGCAGAAUUCAGUGAAUCAUCGAAUCUUUGAACGCACAUUGCGCCCUUUGGUAUUCCAAAGGGCAUGCCUGUUCGAGCGUCAUUUGUACCCUCAAGCUUUGCUUGGUGUUGGGCGUCUUGUCUCUAGCUUUGCUGGAGACUCGCCUUAAAGUAAUUGGCAGCCGGCCUACUGGUUUCGGAGCGCAGCACAAGUCGCACUCUCUAUCAUCAAAGGUCUAGCAUCCAUUAAGCCUUUUUUUUCAACUUUUGACCUCGGAUCAGGUAGGGAUACCCGCUGAACUUAAGCAUAUCAAUAUACAUUUCG
rnacentral:rRNA from 1 species